AUUGAACGCUGGCGGUAGGCCUAACACAUGCAAGUCGAACGCGAAAGUCCUUCGGGAUGAGUAGAGUGGCGGACGGGUGAGUAACGCGUAGGAAUCUAUCCUGUAGUGGGGGAUAACGUUUCGAAAGGAACGCUAAUACCGCAUACGCCCCAAGGGGGAAAGCGGGGGAUCUUCGGACCUCGUGCUAUAGGAGGAGCCUGCGUCGGAUUAGCGAGUUGGUGAGGUAAAGGCUCACCAAGGCGACGAUCCGUAGCUGGUCUGAGAGGAUGAUCAGCCACACCGGAACUGAGACACGGUCCGGACUCCUACGGGAGGCAGCAGUGGGGAAUAUUGCGCAAUGGGCGAAAGCCUGACGCAGCCAUACCGCGUGUGUGAAGAAGGCCUUCGGGUUGUAAAGCACUUUCAGUGGGGAGGAAAAGCUGGUGGCUAAUAUCCAUCGGCCGUGACGCUACCCACAGAAGAAGCACCGGCUAAUUCCGUGCCAGCAGCCGCCGUAAAAC
rnacentral:rRNA from 1 species